GAACCAAAUGACUCUAAAUAUACUAUUUAUAAACCAAAUGAAAAAUUAGGGAGCCAUGCCAAAUCAUACAAACGACGUGCGGCAAAUAUGGACUUUGCACGUUAUUUGGAAGUUCCUCGUUGGAGUAUACUCAACAAUUGCUUCGAAAGUGCCCGUUGUAAUUAACAAGAGGAUUCCAAUUCCAUUUCUAAUCCAACCCUAAAAGCUGGCAACCCAGCCGUGGGUGAGGAGAGACAAGAAAUAAAUCCUUGUCCAUAUGCUCUCUCGAAACCUUCUUCGUAAAAACAAAAGGAAAAAACCCUGCUGGCCACGUGUCCCUCCCUGUAGCUCAAUCCGGCAACGAUUCAGGGUCGAAAUCGGAGUGGCCCGGACACGUGGCGCGAUUAAUCAUGGAGAUCAAUAGACGUUGGAAAAGUCGAAAUUUUGAUAGAUCGCGGAACGAAAGAGGCCAAGCACCAGCUUUCGAAAGAGGGGAGGGGAGG
rnacentral:lncRNA from 1 species